GGUCGCAGCCAGGUGAGGAGCAGGCUGGGUCCCCAGGCUGGCGUCUACCUGGCUCUCCCUCCAGGGCCACGGGGUCCCCAGGCUUCCCUCCCAACUAAACAGAAAACAGCGCACAUCUGUCAUGGGUCCGGGAGACCCUCAGACCUAAAAAUGGCGAGGUCCUGCUGUCCACCUGAACGGACCACGGCGGCGUGGGCGAGAGACGAGGCCAGGACGCCUCACCUGAGAACAUGCCGCCAGGCCCCUCCUGACCUCGCUGAGAUGGAGGAAGCCAAGGAAGCCGAGACUGCAGUCCUGCAGGUCGUGGAAGGCCCCUUCGCUCUGACUUCACUCCGACCACCCACUGCUCCAGCCCCUCCUGACUCUGGAGGCGGCCAGAAGAGCGGGUCCCAGGAGCCAGGCUGGCAAGAGCUGGGGAGUGUCUUUCCGUAACUGGAAGACUGAUGAGCUGUGAGGAAUACCACGCAGCUACAUGCACGGCUCCCGUGAAGGCAGACUCACACAGAGAGAGGACCCCGCGUGCCCGCUGAUGGGAACCCUUCCGUAACAGAGAGACCAGAAGGCCGGGGGCUGCAGUCAGGGGCUGUCAGCUCCACAGUAAAGCACACUUGACCUUCUCCAGGUUUUGCAGGAAUUCUCCUUUUUGGUGGGUGCGUGCAUGCUCAGUCACUCAGUUAAACUGACUCUUUGUGGCUCCAUGGACUGUAUGUAGCCUGCUAGGCUCCUCCAUCCAUGGAAUUUCCCAAGAAGAAUACUGGAGAGGGGUGCCAUUUCCUACUGCAUGGGAUCUUCCCGACCCAAGGGUUGAACCCGGGUCUCUUGUGUCUCUUGCAUUGGUAGGUGGUUCUUUAACACUCCGCUACCCGAGAAGCCCAAACGACAAACAGAUCAUUUUGUUUUUUUGGUCAUGCCUUGCAGCACAUAGGCUCUUAAUUCCCUGACUCGGGAUCGAAUCCUUGCCCCUUGCAUUGGAAGCCUGAAGUCUUAACCGCUGGACUUUUGUGUGUAAUUCUGUAGUAUUUCAUCACAUGGACAGAUUCAUGUCAGCACGACCCUAAUCAAGAUACACAUAACAAAGUGCACAGCUCAUCUUUUAGGGGGUUGUGCCCACGUUUCCCAACUAGGAAGACAUCAAGGAAAACAAACCUCAGAGUAAAGCAUGGAUCUGACCUUCGUGGAACCAGAAGGGGCUGGAGCCCGUUUCUGAGCAACAGCGAGCAGGUGGCUGGGAGGGGCAAGUAGGCAGGCGGGAGAAAGAGGAGGCAUGGACCUUCUUCCACCUCAUUGUUUACCUUGAAAUCAGCACAUUUCCUUACUUAAAAAUACUGAAACCCAGGAACUCUAUUCAAUACCUUGGAACAACGUAUAAUGGAAAAUAGUCAAUAUAUAUAUAUUGAUAUAUUGAUAUAUAUGUAUAACUGAAUCACUUCCUUGUACAUCUGAAAAAAGAUACUGUAAACCAGCUACACUUCAAUUAAAAAAAAAAAAGGAAACCCAACAAACAACCAAGAAGUCAAACACAGACCAAUUAUUGAAAGGAAUGAAAAUGUCCACAUGGGAUCACAAGGCCGAAGGUGCAGGGGUCAUGGGGCCUGCCCAGAGCCUCGGGAACCUACCACGCGGGGCUUCUCCCACACUGGGCGUUUCAGCAGAAAGUCUCUGGGGCCCUGAAUUCAGAAUUCUGGAGUGUUCCAGGAAGGCAUCUGUGCUGCAGAGAGAAACAAGAAGAGGAAGCUGCCUUCUCGGUGGGCUGCCCUGAAGACAGAGAGUCCCAUCCUGUCCCAGGAGCCCGCCCGCUCCUCCUGGCCCCCAGGCUGACAGAGUCCAGGACACCAGCUCACACUGUGUCUGCAGAGGCUGUGCAUUUGUCUGCAGAAGCAGGCUCUGUUUCACUUUGUUCUGAUUCAGCCACUUGUUCGAGAGACUGAAAAGUUGGUUCUGUAGGGGUCUCUUCCUCUGUUUAGGCAGAGUUGGUAAUUUAACCAAAAAUCCUGCCAGCACAUCUCUAAGCUCUCGAGUUUUCUUCCCCAAGCCUGCUGACCCCCCUCUGGAGGAUCCCAAGCAGGUGCUCACCUGAGACAGGAUCCCGGUGUGGCUACAGGGGUCACCUCACCCACACACACGAGCCCUUAUUGUAGUGUCUAGAGCAUUAACUAGGUACAUGAGAAAUCAUUUCAUUUUAUUCUUCAGAGUGAGACAAGAUCAGUACAGUGACGUAUCCAAGUUAAAUUAAUCAGUGGCAGAAAAAAACGGAAAUAACCGCCCCCAUAAUUUAUCUUCCUUGUAAUUUCCUUCUGUAUGUGGACUCUGGGAUAACUACAGUGCUUAUGUGAAAAACACACAGAGAAGAAAAAUACAUUCAAGAGACCAAGUGUUUGCAGGGCAGCAGAAUGAAAGCAAUUCUGUAAGUAAUAAAGAAUUUUCUUUAAAAGCUGUAAUUACUUAU
ensembl:lncRNA